CCGAGCACGCGCGUGUGGCAUAUCAAUAAGCGGAGGAAAAGAAACUAACAAGGAUUCCCUUAGUAACGGCGAGUGAAGCGGGAAGAGCUCAAAUUUGAAAUCUUCAAGGUUCUACCUUGACGAAUUGUAGUUUAUAGAAGUGUUUUCUGUUAGUAGAGUGGCAAAAGUUCUUUGGAAUAGGACAUCAUAGAGGGUGAGAAUCCCGUAUUUGGUUAUUCUUUCUAGCUUUGUGAUACACUUUCAACGAGUCGGAUUGUUUGGGAAUGCAGUCCAAAAUGGGUGGUAAAUUUCAUCUAAAGCUAAAUAUUGGCGUGAGACCGAUAGCGAACAAGUACCGUGAGGGAAAGAUGAAAAGAACUUUGAAAAGAGAGUUAAACAGUACGUGAAAUUGUCAAAAGGGAAGCGUUUGACACCAGUGUUGUUUUUCCGAAAAUCACUUACGAAUGUUUUAUUUUUGAGGAGUUAUGACUUCAUCGGCUUGCUCCUUUCUUUAUGAAACUUUCUUAAUGCACUUUUCGGUUAACAAGUCAACAUCAAUUUCUUUUGUUGUAAAAGGGUACGAGGAAGGUGGCUUUCUUUUCGGAGAAAGUGUUUAUAGCCUUGUACCUCUGCAAUCGGAGAGAUUGAGGUCUGCAGCGUAGAUCCUUCGGGGUUAGAUACACUUUGUGCUAAGUUAUAGCUUUUCAUAGACAACUUGUUGACUAUGUUAAGUCUUGUAGCUUACUCGCUGACGCUAUUUUACCUACGCUUAGGAUGUUGAUGUGAUACUGCGAGCA
rnacentral:rRNA from 1 species